rnacentral:rRNA from 1 species
GCUACCAUGCAGUCGAACGAAGCUCCCCGAAUUGAGUUUUCGGACAAGAGGAAGGGAUGACUUAGUGGCGGACGGGUGAGUAACGCGUGAGCAACCUGCCUCGGAGUGGGGGACAACAGUUGGAAACGACUGCUAAUACCGCAUAACGUGCAGAGGGGACAUCUCCUUUGCACCAAAGAUUUAUUGCUCUGAGAUGGGCUCACGUCUGA